rnacentral:rRNA from 1 species
AUUGAACGCUGGCGGCAUGCCUUACACAUGCAAGUCGAACGGCAGCACGGGAGCAAUCCUGGUGGCGAGUGGCGAACGGGUGAGUAAUGUAUCGGAACGUACCUUUCAGUGGGGGAUAACGUAGCGAAAGUUACGCUAAUACCGCAUAUUCUGUGAGCAGGAAAGCAGGGGAUCUUAGGACCUUGCGCUGAUUGAGCGGCCGAUAUCAGAUUAGCUAGUUGGUGAGGUAAAGGCUCACCAAGGCGACGAUCUGUAGCGGGUCUGAGAGGAUGAUCCGCCACACUGGAACUGAGACACGGUCCAGACUCCUACGGGAGGCAGCAGUGGGGAAUUUUGGACAAUGGGGGCAACCCUGAUCCAGCCAUGCCGCGUGAGUGAAGAAGGCCUUCGGGUUGUAAAGCUCUUUCGGCCGGGAAGAAAUCGCAUGGGUUAAUACCCUGUGCGGAUGACGGUACCGGCAUAAGAAGCACCGGCUAACUACGUGCCAGCCGCCGCAGUAAAAC